GUUUUAGGCAUUUGCUUCUCUCUUUCUUUUUUUUGCUUUGAAACUAAAAAAAACAAACAGAAGAAGAAAAAAUGGUGGAUCUUCAGAAGGUAUGUUCCAUGUGCGGCGACGUUGGCUUCCCGGAAAAGCUCUUCCGCUGCUGCAAGUGCCACCAACGUUACCAACACUCGUAUUGUAGCAAUUAUUAUAGUGAAUUGUCAGAGGGAAUAGAGGUGUGUGACUGGUGUCAAAGUGAAGAAAGAAACAGCAGUUCAAGGCGUGGAAGUUCUUCCAGAAAACCAUCAGCUGAAGGGAUCAUGAUGAGCAGCAGCAGAUCAGAAUAUCCAGGUGGCGACAAAAUCAAACAGCAAAACCAUGAUCAUCAUAGUCAUAGAGAAGAAUCAACGGCUCAUGAUCAAAAACCAAAGAAUAAUCAUGGUGGUGCACCAUCGCCUCGUACGCCCACCCGUAGGUACAAACUUCUCAAGGAUGUCAUGUGUUAAAUUAAAA
rnacentral:misc_RNA from 1 species